AUUGAAAGCUGGCGGCAGGACUAACACAUGCAAGUCGAGCGAGCGGCGGACGGGUGAGGAAUGUAUGGGGAUCUGCCCGAUAGUGGGGGAUAACUACUGGCAACGGUGGCUAAUACCGCAUCCUCUCGGAAGCACCCCUAUGGGAUUAGCUAGUAGGUGGGGUAAAGGCUCACCGAGGCGACGAUCUCUAGCUGGUCUGAGAGGAUGAUCAGCCACACUGGGACUGAGACACGGCCCAGACUCCUACGGGAGGCAGCAGUGGGGAAUAUUGCACAAUGGGCGCAAGCCUGAUGCAGCCAUGCCGCGUGUAUGAAGAAGGCCUUAGGGUUGUAAAGUACUUUCAGCGGGGAGGCGUUACCCGCAGAAGAAGCACCGGCUAACUCCGUGCCAGCAGCCGCGGUAAUAC
rnacentral:rRNA from 1 species